rnacentral:rRNA from 1 species
GUAGUCUCGCACAGAUGCAUAUCAAUAAGCGGAGGAAAAGAAACUAACAAGGAUUCCCCUAGUAACGGCGAGUGAAGCGGGAAGAGCUCAAAUUUGAAAUCUUAAAGGGUUUCCCUUUACGAAUUGUAGUUUAAAGAAGUGUUUUCUGUUGAGGUUUUGGUAAAAGUUCUUUGGAAUAGGACAUCAUAGAGGGUGAGAAUCCCGUAUUUGACCUUUACUUUCAACUUUGUGAUACACUUUCAAAGAGUCGGAUUGUUUGGGAAUGCAGUCCAAAAUGGGUGGUAAAUUUCAUCUAAAGCUAAAUAUUGGCGAGAGACCGAUAGCGAACAAGUACCGUGAGGGAAAGAUGAAAAGAACUUUGAAAAGAGAGUUAAACAGUACGUGAAAUUGUCAAAAGGGAAGCGUUUGACACCAGUGUUGUUUUUCUGAAAAUCAAUUAAAGAACUGUUUAUGCUAAGUUGUUUAGACUUUAUCAGCUAACUGUUUAGUUUUGAGCUUUUCUUUAAUGCACUUUUCAGUUAACAAGUCGACAUCAAUUUCUUUUGCUGUAAAAAAGCUUGAGGAAGGUGGCUUGAGAUUCGUCUUAAGUGUUUAUAGCCUCUUGCCUAUGCAGUCGGAGAGAUUGAGGUCUGCAGCGUAGAUCCUUCGGGGCUAAAUGCAUUUGUGCUAAGUUAUAGCAUUUUAUAGACAACUUGUUGACUAUGAUUUGUCUUGUAGCUUACUCGCUUAUGUUAUUUUACCUACGCUUAGGAUGUUGAUCUGUAGUGCGUGCGC